rnacentral:rRNA from 1 species
UACAGAGGUCUCAAGCGUUGUUCGGAUUCAUUGGGCGUAAAGGGUGUGUAGGUGGCGCGCUAAGUCGGGUGUGAAAUUUCGGAGCUUAACUCCGAAACUGCAUUCGAUACUGGCGUGCUUGAGGACUGGAGAGGAGACUGGAAUUCAUGGUGUAGCAGUGAAAUGCGUAGAUAUCAGUCGGAACGACCGGCUGGCGAAAGGCGGCUUCUUGGGCCGUUACUGACGCUGAGGCGCGAAAGCCAGGGGAGCGAACGGG